rnacentral:sRNA from 1 species
GCCGGGUGUAGUAGUGCACGUCUGUAAUCCUAGCAGCUCAGGAGGCUGAAGCAGGAGAAUUGUGAGUUCAAAGUCAGCCUAAACAACUUAGUGAGACCCUGUUUUUA